CAGUAGCCGCGGUAAUACGUAGGUGGCAAGCGUUGUCCGGAAUUAUUGGGCGUAAAGGGCUCGCAGGCGGUUUCUUAAGUCUGAUGUGAAAGCCCCCGGCUCGACCGGGGAGGGUCAUUGGAAACUGGGAAACUUGAGUGCAGAAGAGGAGAGUGGAAUUCCGCGUGUAGCGGUGAAAUGCGUAGGGAUGUGGAGGAACACCAGUGGCGGAGGCGACUCUCUGGUCUGUAACUGACGCUGAGGAGCGAAAGCGUGGGGAGCGAACAGGAUUAGAUACCCCAGUAGUCCCUGUCUCUUAUAC
rnacentral:rRNA from 1 species